GGAUAAGAGCUCAACAGCGUUUUGUGGGAUGUGUCGCAUCUCGGUGAGUCUCUUUCUCCUACAUGCCUUCCUCUUCUAGCCUAGCCGACAGGUGCGCUCGAUCAGCUUCUUUGAUAGAUCCCAACAUUUUAUUUUUAUCCUCUGGCAACCUACAUUCUGUCGCCUGCCAUGCUGCGUUUUUCGCUUGUGUGGUCUUCAUCAAUUCUAUAAGUGGUGGCCAGCUAGGAAGUUGUCUGACCAAAAUAUACCGUGAACUUCUCAAUGAAGCACAGGUACCCAGUCAAGCAUUUGAAGUAGUGAUGUUGAAGCUGUGCAUCCCCUUAACCAUAUCAACACUUUAAAUCUAAUAUUCGAUGAGGGCUUACUUCUUACAGGUUUUUUUCUUAGCUUUUUUCAUGAUCUUUUAUCCCAAUUUUAUUGGCCCAUUUAUCUGCACAAUGAACUGAUACACAUGCCCUUUUCGUCCAAAGGUAGAUGUUGGUACCACAAGCAUGUUGUUUAGCGUGUACAAAAUUUGAUGAUUUCAAACAUGUUUCUUGGCUUGAAAUUUUGAGGAUACACCUGUCAUUAUCAUUUGUGCACCAUUUGCUCAUAAAAAAUAUUACUACAACACUUCAAUUAUCAAUAGGGUGAGCUGAGCUUUGGUGAACUGCAUGUGUAGAGAGUGAUGAGGAGAUAUGGAGGAUAAAAUUUGGACCUAAACGCAGGAGGUCUAUAUAGAGAAAAGAAAAGGAUAAAAGCUGCCGAGCCAAGUUGGUUUACUCUUUCCAUUCUUAUUAUGCUGAGCCACGCCGCACUAUUCAUAGCAGAUACUUUGCAUUGUCAUUACUCAUUAUGUUGUUUUGAACAGGCCUAUGAGGAUAGAGGCUGAUUCGGUAAGGUCUGAUGGUAGAUAUAUUUUGUUUCUUCAGUAAAGCUUACAAUUCAAAUCAUUUUAGUAUUUGGUUAACGUUUAUAGAUCAAGAAAUUGAUUAUGUGUCGCUUUAACUGAUCUCAUAACAGUCUAGAAUAUAUUGUUGAGAACUAUCAUUAAUCAUAACUUAACAGUAAUAUAUAUUCGCUGGUUUCUAGUUUGCUCGAACUAAAUGACAAUGGACAUACCUACCUUGAGAACGUUUUUUGGAGGAAAUAAAACACUGGAUCUUGGCAUAUUCAGAAGGUUAGCUUCCCUAUUUGCGACUUGCAUCAGUAGCACUAUCAUCAGGCAGCAGCACAAAAACCCCGACAUACCCAUAAAAAUCUGUGUACUCUGUCCGCCUGAAGAAAUGCCAAAUGCACCAGAAGAUGGCAAAGCUUCAGGAUCCUCGCCGACCAGACGACACCUGCCUCGAAUGAAGAAGAUGUCAGCUGCACGAUUGAAAAAAAAAAGAUGAAGGCCAAGGCAUGAGCUACUACACCAACCAAGAAGUACAUCAACAAAGAACUCUUCGUAUUC